UGGAAACAAAAAAAAAGAAUACCAUUCUUCGCAGUACGGUGGCAUAGCGGACGCGUGGAAAGUGUCGUCCGACAAUAAAACGCAAUUUGCGAACUCCAAUCGGUCCUAAGUGCAUUCCGCAAGGCCACAAGCUCGCACAGGAUUCAACCGUCGAUUUUCAAGGUGUUGUCUCACGGGGAGACGGACGAGCAUCCACGGAGUCAUUCGCCGUUUGUCACAAGGAAAAAAGCACCGUGAGCCUUCCAAGGAAACUCUCCUGCUUGCAGGGUGAUCGCUAACGCAAAAUCCGGUUAAUGCAGCACUGAUUGACGGGGCAACAAAAGAUCACUGCGGUCGAAGGACACGUCGGUCGGUCGCACGACAGCGAAACUUCCACAGCCAGCGAAGGAACAAUUUGGUCGAUCCAUCUAUUCCGGCGCCUACAAAAGAAACCCCUAUUGGGGUUUUUUCACCGGAUCGAGAACUUCACCAUCAGGAUAGGGUUUAAGGAAGGGACAAAUCCCGGAUACGAGGUCAGCGAGUGAAUCGGAUAGCAUCGAGAAGCCCCUUCAAGAACGAGGGUCCCCACAGCUCCGAACGGUGUGCUUCCAGAGAGGCGAAAAGGAACGCAGCAGCUGAAGUGGGACGAAACGGCCGCUCACUGGUGCAGGAAUCCGUCGAAAGAACACCCCUCGGAGAAAGUGCGCGGAGAAAAUCAUUCGUGCAGGCCGUGCAGAAUCGCGGUACGCUCGUGUUGGUGAGUGCCGAAGCACCAGAGUGGCUAACGGUCCAGGACAACAUCUACGGCCAACCGCCGGAGAAAGGCACGAUUAUGAGGGGUCGCAAACGAAGUGCGUCGUGGAGGCGACAGUGAGUAGGAUUCGUGGGUGCACCCAAUGAUGAGCAAUUUUGUGAGUACUCAAAAUCAUAGCAUGUAAGAGACACGAAAGAUAGUAGGAAGCAGUGGUGAAGGACAUGUAGGUAGGAGAAAGUAGUGUAAUAAAGAUGAAAAACAUGUAAA